GACGAACGCUGGCGGCGUGCUUAACACAUGCAAGUCGAACGGAAAGGCCCUGCUUGCAGGGUACUCGAGUGGCGAACGGGUGAGUAACACGUGGGUGAUCUGCCCUGCACUUCGGGAUAAGCCUGGGAAACUGGGUCUAAUACCGGAUAGGAGCCAUUUUUAGUGUGAUGGUUGGAAAAUUUUUUCGGUGUAGGAUGAGCUCGCGGCCUAUCAGCUUGUUGGUGGGGUAAUGGCCUACCAAGGCGGCGACGGGUAGCCGGCCUGAGAGGGUGGACGGCCACAUUGGGACUGAGAUACGGCCCAGACUCCUACGGGAGGCAGCAGUGGGGAAUAUUGCACAAUGGGCGCAAGCCUGAUGCAGCGACGCCGCGUGGGGGAUGACGGCCUUCGGGUUGUAAACUCCUUUCGCUAGGGACGAAGCUUUUUGUGACGGUACCUAGAGAAGAAGCACCGGCUAACUACGUG
rnacentral:rRNA from 1 species